CAUGGAGGGUGAGAAUCCCGUCCGGCCAACUUUUUGACGCUUUACGAUACACUUUCAAAGAGUCGAGUUGUUUGGGAUUGCAGCUCAAAAUGGGAGGUAAAUUUCUCCUAAGGCUAAAUAUUGGCGAGAGACCGAUAGCGAACAAGUACCGUGAGGGAAAGAUGAAAAGAACUUUGAAAAGAGAGUAAAAUAGUACGUGAAAUUGUUGAAAGGGAAACGAUUGAAGUCAGUCGUACCGACGAUAAAUCAGCUCCUCGAGUGCGGACUUGUGGGCGUGCGUGAGCUUUAAAACCUCGCUGUUUGCAACGUUUGUACUUUUUGGGUGUACUUUUUCGUAUGGUAGGCCAACGUCAGUUUCGAUUACCAUAAAAUGACCGGAGGAAUGUAGCUUCGAUCUCGUAUUGAAGUGUUAUAGCCACUGGUAGAUGUGGUGACUGAAACUGAGGAUUGCAACGAAUACCCUUUGGGCUAUCCGUCUGAUCUCUGAAAGUUGCUUAGGUGCCGAAAGCGUGCUUACGGUUAUUUAAGUUGACGGUCAAUAGGUUAGAACGUGAUUACAUUCGUUAAGGAUGUUGACGUAAUGG
rnacentral:rRNA from 1 species